rnacentral:misc_RNA from 1 species
GUGAAUUAAACAUGCUUGGUGUCCUCGCUUCGGCAAGGCCCUUGCUUAAAUCACAUCCUAACACCUGUGAACUGUAAGACGUAUGAUGAGGUCUUUGGCCAAGUCAUCGUCUGCCCAUUUUUAACAAACAAUUAAUGUAACAAACGUAGUCUUAUUAUAACCUAAUA